rnacentral:rRNA from 1 species
GAACGAACGCUGGCGGCAUGCCUAACACAUGCAAGUCGAACGAGACCUUCGGGUCUAGUGGCGCACGGGUGCGUAACGCGUGGGAAUCUGCCCUUGGGUCCGGAAUAACUCAGAGAAAUUUGAGCUAAUACCGGAUGAUGACGUAAGUCCAAAGAUUUAUCGCCCAGGGAUGAGCCCGCGUAGGAUUAGCUAGUUGGUGAGGUAAAGGCUCACCAAGGCGACGAUCCUUAGCGGUCUGAGAGGAUGAUCAGCCACACUGGGACUGAGACACGGCCCAGACUCCGUACGGGAGGCAGCAGGUGGGGAAUAUUGGACAAGUGGGACGAAAGCCUGAUCCAGCAAUGCCGCGUGAGUGAUGAA